rnacentral:rRNA from 1 species
CGGACGGGUGAGUAACGCGUGAGUAACCUGCCUUCAUGAGGGGGAUAACAUUCUGAAAAGAAUGCUAAUACCGCAUGACAUAUCGGAACCACAUGGUUCUGAUAUCAAAGAUUUUAUCGCUUGAAGAUGGACUCGCGUCCGAUUAGUUAGUUGGUGAGGUAACGGCUCACCAAGACCGCGAUCGGUAGCCGGACUGAGAGGUUGAACGGCCACAUUGGGACUGAGACACGGCCCAGACUCCUACGGGAGGCAGCAGUGGGGGAUAUUGCGCAAUGGGGGCAACCCUGACGCAGCAACGCCGCGUGAAGGAUGAAGGUUUUCGGAUUGUAAACUUCUUUUAUUAAGGACGAAAAUUGACGGUACUUAAUGAAUAAGCUCCGGCUAACUACGUGCCAGCAGCCGCGGUAAUACGUAGGGAGCAAGCGUUGUCCGGAUUUACUGGGUGUAAAGGGUGCGUAGGCGGCUUUGCAAGUCAGAUGUGAAAUCUAUGGGCUCAACCCAUAAACUGCAUUUGAAACUGUAGAGCUUGAGUGAAGUAGAGGCAGGCGGAAUUCCCCGUGUAGCGGUGAAAUGCGUAGAGAUGGGGAGGAACACCAGUGGCGAAGGCGGCCUGCUGGGCUUUAACUGACGCUGAGGCACGAAAGCGUGGGUAGCAAACAGGAUUAGAUACCCUGGUAGUCCACGCUGUAAACGAUGAUUACUAGGUGUGGGGGGUCUGACCCCUUCCGUGCCGGAGUUAACACAAUAAGU